CUGAAUAGUCAGCGGGAAACCGUGGACUCGGUGCCCACGCGAACUGCUACCCGCUGUCUACUAGGGCGGCAAAAAGAAUCUACGAGAACUUCUGCCUCCGAACCUCCAGAAAAACUAUCAAGAUUCCAUGAAGCAUCUCUCUAGCUGCCUUUGAAAUAAUAUGUGCUCAGGUGAAACCUCUUUUCUGCUCUCCUCACAUUUCCACCUCAACCCAUAAAGGAAGAGUUAUUCUUUGAAACUUAGUCCCCUGUCCUUCCUUUUUUAGCACCCCCACAGGUUCAACAUUUCACUGUUCUAAAUUUAGAGGAACUAGGAAGAAAAAUGAGACUUUUUCACGAAGGAAAUUAAAGAGUUCAUGUAUCCAUCACCACAGUCACAGUCAAAAUACCGAAUAGUUCCAACAUCACCAGAAGCCCUCGUGUUGCCCUGCAUAAUUCCCUGGACAUUGAUCCAAGUUGUUGUACGUAUCAAUAGUCUACUCAUU